rnacentral:lncRNA from 1 species
CAUUUGGCGGCUCAUGGGAGGCGCUGUCUUCACCAGGUCAACCGGGAUGGCAAGGCCGAAGGCCUAGUGUGCAAGCCGACCCAAGGAGGCUCAGAGAGAAGGCCCAAGAAUAGGAGGAAUGCCCUCCAAGAGAAGCAAGACAUGGAUUAGUAUUCCACAGAAGAUAGUCCUAUUCUUGUUAGGACUAUAUCUAAACCUACCCCUUCAACCUAUAUAAGAAGGGGCAGGGCACCCCAAGAGGGACAACUACAAUUAGGU